rnacentral:lncRNA from 1 species
UGCUGGGUGAGCUGCCAUUUGGCUUCAAGACAGUUUGGCUCUUGGGGGCAGGACUGUAGGUGUGGGGGAAAGAUGGCCCUUCACGCAGGGUGGAUUUGCAAAUCCCAUUCUGGUUACAAGGCCCCUUCCUGCCUCUUAAGAAAAAGAAUAAUAAGUAGUGACAGGGAAAGGCAAUGUCCUAUCCUAAGGCCAUGCUGAUGAUGGGGUGAGGCUGCCUUCCUGAGCCCCACCCUCCACAUCUGACCACACCUAACUCCAAACCUCUACCCACACUGCUGCCUGGCUCUGCGGGGCCGUCACCGGGCGUCGGACGGACAAUCCCAGCCUCACCCCUGCACAACCUGCUCUCCCCACUGCCUGGCUCUGUGGGGUGAGUAAACCGCAG